CUUCUAAUGUAGCCAAUACAUUUUCUACAUCUCUGUCAUAACUAAUUAACACAAUAAAAAAAUGAAAUGAAAUUAUUGAAUGAAAUAUUUUAUAUCAAAUAAUAUUGAAUUGAAAAUUAUAAAAUAACUUACUGUGAAUAUUAAUAAGACUGCUGAAUGUGACAGCAGCAAAAUCCAAAAUAUAUUUUUCUGAAAUAUUUGUAUUUGUAUGUUCUAAUAUAAUUAAUAGUUUACAACAUUGUACACUCGUAUUAACAUUACAAUGUUGCAAUUUUAACAAAAUUGUGUCACCCAUUGUGUUAAUAUUGAUAUCAAAUAAGGUAAAUGAGCUUCUUGCCAUGAAAUUUUUAUACCAUAUGUUAAUUCUUGAAGUAAUUUUAAUACUCGUAUUCUUUUUUCACUUGUUAAAUUUGCCUAUAAAAUUAUUAUACAAAAAUAUAUUAUAUAAAUAUUAAGAUAUUAAUAUGUUUAAAAUUUUGAUGUUUUAUAUUAGAAUUUCAUAAAAUAAAAUAUUUAAAAUAUAAAAAUUAAAAAAAAUUUAAUAUUUCUAAUUAUUGAAAUAAAAAAAUUUUAUAAAUGAAAAAUAUGAACCUCAAAUAAAAAAAAUAAAAUAAAUAUAUUUCUAUAUUUUCUAUUAUAUUAUUGUAUUAUAUUUCAUUUAUCAUUUAAUAUAUAAAUAAAAAUAUAUACCUCUAAUAAUCUUGCCAAUAUAGGUGCAAAUUUAUAUGUAUGAAUAAGAGCUUGUCUUGCUGCAGCAUUGCGACAAGCAUUUUGUAAAACAUCAACAGUACUCCAAAUUAAAGUAGUUCUAGAUACUAAAGAAUUCAUAAGCUCAUGCAAACUAACAUAAAAUUCUGCUGCUAUGCUGGUUCCAGGAUCAAAGAUACUCAAAUCUAAUGAUGUGCUUAUUACCUUUCAAAUAAAUUUUGUAAAAAAAUAUUUUACAUUAAUUAAAUCUUUUUGUUCCAAUAUUUUAUGUAAUAUUAAAUAUAUUAAAAUAUUUUAUCAAAAUUAUUAAAAUUUACUAUUUUAUUUAAUAAUUAAAAUUUAUUUUUAUCAUACAGAUUAGAAAUAUGAAAAACAGAAUUUUAAAAUUUAAAAUAAUAAUUUAUAAUAAUUACUUACACCAAGAUUUCUUUGUAAAAUUGAAGCUGUUGUUUCACUAGGAUGUUUAGUAUAUUCCAAAACCGCCGAUAUAAAUGUUCUUAUAUGUUGAUACUUGUCCAUUGUAUUUAAUUUAAUUUAAUAAUUGUAUAAUUUUGAAUUUUAAUAUAAAUCUAAUUAACAUUAAAAUUGACAAAAAAAGGAAAUUUUUAUAUGUAAAUUACAAAUAUAAUUUUAAUUUAUUAUCUUAUCAAUGAAAUAUUUUAUAAAAUAAAAUAAUGUAUAUAUGUAUACAUAUGCAAUGUAAA